UACGAAGGGGGCUAGCGUUGCUCGGAAUUACUGGGCGUAAAGCGCACGUAGGCGGGUCGUUAAGUCGGGGGUGAAAUCCUGGAGCUCAACUCCAGAACUGCCUUCGAAACUGACGAUCUUGAGUUCGGGAGAGGUGAGUGGAACUGCGAGUGUAGAGGUGAAAUUCGUAGAUAUUCGCAAGAACACCAGUGGCGAAGGCGGCUCACUGGCCCGGUACUGACGCUGAGGCACGAAAGCGUGGGGAGCAAACAGG
rnacentral:rRNA from 1 species